AGAGUUGUAUCCUGGCUCAGGAUGAACGCUGGCGAGAUGCUUUACACAUGCAAGUCGUACGAGAGUUUUUAACUCAAGUGGCGGACGGGUGAGUAACACGUAAGAAUUUGCCUUUAGGAGGGGGACAACAACUGGAAACGGUUGCUAAUACCCCAUAUGCUUUCGAGUGAAAUGGAUUUUUCCGCCUAGAGAGAAGCUUGCGGCUGAUUAGCUUGUUGGUAAGGUAAUGGCUUACCAAGGCGACGAUCAGUAUCUGGUUUGAGAGGAUGAUCAGACACACUGGAACUGAGACACGGUCCAGACUCCUACGGGAGGCAGCAGUGGGGAAUUUUCCGCAAUGGGCGAAAGCCUGACGGAGCAAUCUCGCGUGAGGGAUGACGGCCUAUGGGUUGUAAACCUCUUUUUUCAGGGAGGAAUCAAUGACGUGUACCUGAAGAAUAAGCAUCGGCUAACUCCGUGCCAGCAGCCGCGGUAAGACGGAGGAUGCAAGUGUUAUCCGGAAUCACUGGGCGUAAAGCGUCUGUAGGUGGUUUAAUAAGUCAACUGUUAAAUCUUGAAGCUCAACUUCAAAAUCGCAGUCGAAACUAUUAGACUAGAGUAUAGUAGGGGUAAAGGGAAUUUCCAGUGGAGCGGUGAAAUGCGUAGAGAUUGGAAAGAACACCGAUGGCGAAGGCACUUUACUGGGCUAUUACUAACAC
rnacentral:rRNA from 1 species